AUUGAACGCUGGCGGCAGGCCUAACACAUGCAAGUCGAGCGAGCGGCGGACGGGUGAGUAAUGUAUGGGGACUGCCCGAUAGAGGGGGAUAACUACUGGAAACGGUGGCUAAUACCGCAUACUCUCGGAUAACCCAUCUGGGAUUAGCGAGUGGGUGGGGAAAAGGCUCACCUAGGCGACGAUCGCUCGCUGGUCUGAGAGGCUGAUCAGCCACACUGGGACUGGGACACGGCCCAGACUCCUCCGGAGGCAGCAGUGGGAAAUAUUCGAAAAUGGGGGAAAGCCUGAUGCAGCCAGGCCGGUUGUAUGAAGAAGGCCUUAGGGUUGUAAAGUACUUUCAGCGGGGAGGCGUUACCCGCAGAAGAAGCACCGGCUAACUCCGUGCCAGCAGCCGCGGUAAUAC
rnacentral:rRNA from 1 species